AUGGUGUUCAACGACGAUGAGAAUCCUGCCAGUACCUUGAAUACAGGGAGCACCAAGGGACUGGUGAAGAUCCAAAAGCCAGCGUACAGCAGGGACGACGUGGCGCUGACGGCCGACGAGGUCACGGCGGUGAUCGAGCUGAACGCCGCACCCAGCGCCGUCGUCAGGGAGGGGCUGGACCUUGUGGUGGUGCUGGAUGUGAGCGGCAGCAUGCAGGGGGAGAGGCUUGAAAGCAUGAAGCAGUCGAUGCAGUUCGUGAUCAUGAAGCUCACCCCCGUGGACCGCCUCUCCAUCGUCACCUUCUCCAGCCACGCCCAAAGGCUCUGCCCGCUGCGCUCCAUGACCGAGGCCGCCCAAAAGGAAGUCAAGGCCAUCAUCGACGGCCUCAAGGCCAAGGGAACCACCAACAUCAAGAGUGGCCUCGAGAUCGCGCGGCAAGUCGUCGCCGAACGCUCCACCAAGAAAUCCCGCACCGCCAACGUCUUCCUCAUGUCCGACGGCGUGCAGAGCGCCGGUGAAGCCACGGAUGUCGAUCUUGGCAGUGCUAGCGUCUACACCUUCGGUCUCGGCAAGGACACAGAUCACAAGCUGCUCAACGCCAUCGCCAAGAAAUCCCCCGGCGGCACGUUCAGCACGGUGCGGGACGGGGCCAACCUCACCAGGCCCUUCUCCCAGAUGCUGGGUGGCCUCCUCACCGUGGUGGCGCAGGACGUGAAGCUCACCCUCACGCCCAAGACCGAGGACGGCCUGAAGGUGAUGGUGGUGCCCGCCGACACCGACUACACGCAGACCACGGACAGCGCCACCGGCGUCAUCACCAUCAACUUCGGCACCCUCUUCAGCGGGGAGUCGCGCAAGGUCACCGUCAAGAUGACGCUCUCGGACUGCGCCGCCGGCACCACGCGCCACGACGCGGUCCUCGCCGAGGCCCAGCACAGCUAUACCGCCCAGUCCGUCGUGCACGGCCUCCAGACCCCCGAGAACCUCAAGAUCUACCGCACCCCGAACCCAGCCACCGUCGCCGGCAGCAAGGCGCGCUGGGUGCUGGCCGAGCUGGCGCGGCGCCGGCAGGCCCAGGCCAUCAGGGACGCCAUGGCUCUGGCGGAAGCCGGCGACCUCGACGGCGCACGCUACAGGCUCGUGGAGGCGCAGAACGCGCUGGAGGAGCUCGUGCUGGACGACGGCCAGAAGCUGCUCGACUCGCUCCGCGCCGAGCUCGUGCAGCUCAUCAAGCUCAUGGCCACCAAGGAUCUCUACGAGGCGCAGGGCCGCCCCUACGCGCUCGCCUCCGAUACCUCCCACGCCCGCCAGCGCUACGCCGACAGGGGCGACGACACGGACGCAGUUCGCCUCUUCGCCACGGCACGCAUGGACACCUACCUUAAGCAGGCUAAGCAGUUCGACAGUGACCCCACCAAGCCGCUGCCCUCCGCCGCCGACGACGUCAAGGAAGAGAUCGCCGCCAACCCCAUGGCAGCCUUCUCCUCCGAGCUCGCCGUAUACCUCCAGAAGGCAAUCGAGGCUCUGCAGGCCAUCGAGAAGAUGAUCAACCCCACCACCACCACCUAG
rnacentral:rRNA from 1 species